UCUUGGUGUUGCAGUACAUUAUGGAUCUGACAUGAUUGUGACCUGGCCUGAAGAGGAUAAGAAAGCUUUUCAGAAGAGAGUGGACCUUGCUAGAGUUUCUGAAAAAGAGGAUGGAAAAAGUAAAGUAAAGUAGUGA